GCUGGAAUGUCUGGAGCGCUUCCGUGUCACCAGAGUGUCUGUCUAAGCGGACACCGAGCUUUGCGCGCUGCGCCAUGUCUGCCUGAAGGACUGAGGAAUUCUGGGGGGCUCCGUCUCUGCCGUUUCUUUUCUGUCAGACACCUAAUGUAAACUUAAACCGGCGGGUUCAGCUAUGAAGACUGAGCAAAGCUGUGUGGAGACACCGGCCACUCUCCGGGAGGUCAAAGAUCUGCUCCAAAAAUUGGCGCACGGAGAAGAGGUUGCCCCGGAGAAGCAACAUGAAAGCAAAUACGUCGAUUUGGAGUUAGUGGACGUGAACACAGGCGGGGCAAAACCGGGAAAAGACCGUCGCUUUGGUGAAAGAAACCAAAUGUCUGUCCCUAUUUACAGCAGCGGCUCCGGGGCUCGGCGCGCAACGGCAGCAAACCAUGAGUUGGCGAUUAAAACCGAGACUGAAACUAAGAAGAAAGAGGAUUCUGGAGUUGGGAAAUGUGCGGAAUAUGUCAAGGAGGGUUCCUCUGACCCAUCCUCGGCAUCAGAUCUUCCUUGUCUUCACGCAAAGUCAGAGGAUUGCCUCAAACCAGGAGACAAAAUCGAGCACGCCAUAACGCAGCCCGAGGUGCCAAAUAAAGAAGACAACAAAAAGGAAUUACAGAGUAGUGAUAAUUAUCUGAGCGGGAGAAGUGAGUCUGAUGAUUAUGAGGAGGAUGAUGAUGUUAGUUUGGUGCUUUCCGACGAUUGCGUCCCGUGCGUAACGGAGGACGAGUCCCAUUACAUUACCACGCACGAGAUCCAGCUCUCAGAGCUUUCUGAUCAUGAUGGGGACUACGACCUCGGGGUGGGCUCCUCCACCAGCUGGGACAUUGAGGAUGACAACCAGGUGUACUCUUUUGUCGAUUACGCUUCUUUUGACGGUGAUGGAGCGGCGAAGGACAGGGGGGACAGUCGACAACCUGGCUCUCGGGGCGCAGCAGCAGCAGUCAGCACUCUGCUUGAAAGUGAUCUGUGCGAAGCGGCCAAGUUCACCACCUCAGAUGAGAGUGUGUCAAAGCCCCAGCAGCAGUGUAGUGGCAGCAGUGCGGGACAGAUCCACCUGUCAAUCAGAACCACUUCUCGAGCUAUAAAUGACCCUAGCAACAUCCAAGAACAGGAAAAUAUUCUUUAUCAUGCCAGGCACUCCGGAGACAUGAGUCGCUAUGUGUUUAGGGGAGUUGAUGGGAAGGCUGAGACGUUGUGUGACAGGGCGAAGUGUUUCAUAGCCGCGCCCGGACGCUUACACUUUGGCCGUAAAUUGGUGGGAAAAGAGGUCACCGGGUAUUCCAGCGGCGAGUCCAGCGCUGUCAGCGAGCUGGACGACGCUGACAAGGAGGUGCGCAACCUGACAGCCAGAGCCUUUAAGAGCCUGGCUUACCCUUACUUUGAUGCCAUUAAUUUCAGCACCUCUAGUGAGUCCUCUGCAUCAGAGCAUGGGAUAGGGAUAAACAGGUGGUCCACGUUUGUCGACCUGAAAUAUGGCAAUAUGAAUAUGUCACAAGGACUGGACCAAAGUGUUGUUUCCCAUCAAAACUCAACGGCCUCAUUUGAAAUAGCCAAAAAUCUAGACAAUAGAGGUUAUAAGGACAUUGCACUGGCAAGCAUCAAACCGCCCACCAGCAAGAUCUUCACUCUGAAUGGGAAUCCCCACAGCGCAUCGUCAUCUACAAAGAAAAUAGAGCUGAUGGGGAAAUUCAGUCAGGGCCACAGUGGGGUGAUUAGACUCACAGAGACUCUGAACUUCCGUUGCAAUGUCAAAUCGCGAAUGUCUGAGGGAGAAAGGCGCCCUAACUUUGCACAAAACGCUGCAGGAUCACGUUCCACAGAUGAAGUUACCAACAGUCUGCCAAGCAGCCAGAGGAGAGGGGCCAGUAAGCCGCCCUCUAAAACCAUGGAAGACAUGCACAAGAAAGCCAUAUUCGCCUCGAGCCUGAUCAAAAAUGUGAUUUCUAAGAAGAUGCAGUUCGAGCAGGAGCGCAAGAUGGAAAGAGGGGAGAUCAGUGAGCCGCAUCAGACGCCUUCCCCGUGCUUUGUGCACCAGGAGAGCGACAGCCACAGGGGGAAGGGGAGCAGGGAGCUGCACAGACAGAGCUCCAAGUUUUCCGAGAGCAGCUCUGACUACGCCAUAAUGUGCGUGGAUGAAUUAGGGGAUAUCGUGGACAGCGGCUCAUGUGAUACCAAGAGCGACUCUCGGAGACAAGACACGGCCGCUCCCGUACCAGAAACUAAUUUGGAGCCGGCAAAUGAAGCUGGAAUCGAUACUAAAAAAGGCACAUUGGAAGCGUCCAAAAGCACGCUGCUUCGCAGCCAAAAUAGCGCGUUCAGAUGCUGGAAGGACGAGGAGCUAGAGUUUCAAAAGGAUCAUAAAAACGACAAAACUCCGGAGGGGAAGUCGCCUUCAGCUAACGACAAAGAGGGCGAGUGGGACCAGUACUCAUCGGGCGGCGGCAAACUGACAAAAAUGUCACAUUUGUUUGUGCCAAGUAUCCAACUGCUGUCCAGUGACGGAGAAGUCGGACAGCAGCUGCAGAACAGGAACUAUUCUCCGUGUGGAGAUGGAGGAGGGAUAAAAUUGCGCUCUGACAACACUUUAUACAUCGAAGACUCCAGAAGUGUGGCUACAUCUAAAUCUCCGGAAAUUAAAAUUAACUUAAGGAGCGUCAGAGACAACAAAAAGGAGCCUUUUGGCGUCUCCAAACUGCGCGCUCCUAAUAUAGGCUGUAACACUGCCAGCUUCAUCAGAACAGAUGACUUCAAAUGCCAGGCGCUGGCUGCAGCUUUUAAGGGUGAGUCUUCAGAUAAAGUUCCGCAUUUCAUGGUUAGAGACAUUAGAGAUAAUAAAGGAAAGCUGCAGACGCCCAUACACCAAGUGAGAGACGUGCGUAAAUUGGUUAAAAGUUCCUAUCACUUUGUUUCUUUGGAUAACAACGAAAAUAAAUCCCACUUUGCCUCUGCUGACAGCCAUUCAGAGCAAAAGAAGCAAAUGCCCUAUCGAAAUCCUAAUUCCGUGUCCCCUAUAGUGAUAAAAUGUCAGUCUGUGAAUACAAACAGUAACGGAAAACAAUCUGGAAAUCUUAUUGAGUUAUCUAAACGGGAGCCGUUUGACAUAGACACAUCGUCUCCAGAGGGCGCUAAAAGUGCUCCAAUGCAAAGGGCAGCAGGGACAGCACCCAUAGGUAACUCAAAUAAUUCAUCAGAGGGAGGCAUUGGAUUGAGGAUUGAGAGCAGAAUAGCUUCAAAGAGGCAGGAAAAAACAUCAGAUAUCACAGAUAAGAAACCUGAAUCAAAGAUGGCGAACCAGGUGGCUUUGGAAAAACUCCAGGCUGCUGUGAAAACCAUGGAGCAGCUCUAUGUAUUUGAAAGAAAUGAAUGGAAACGGAAGAAUGAGCCCCAGCCCCUGACAGACAGCCAUGUGCUUUCACUGAUAGCCAGCGAGGAGCAUGGAGGACCUGAGGAGGAAGGAGCAAGAGGGUCCAACAAUGACAAGACGCCACCAGCAGUAGCGGCUUCCCCCGGCACUGACAGCCUGCUGAGGCGAGAGGACAAAGUCUUUCAGACUCCCGGCAGCCGUGAUGACAGGCUGGUUGCUAAGUCAAUCCAAGCCACCAGCACCACAGAGAACAAAAACAUGUUCAGCCUCAGCUCUAACCUUAAGGCCUCCACAACCGCAAAGAGUCCCCAGCCAAACACCAUCACACAAACACCUUUCAGCACCAAAAGCUUUGUCCAAAGGUCCCCAAAAUUGCCAGUUUCCUUAAAAAUCAGUCAGAGGAAGCUAAGUGGACAUGAGGAAGCGGAAUCAAAGGAGGUAGAGAGGUCCACGCAGGAGCUCUUGAGGGCCUCAGCUGACAACGAGAACUACCUUACCAUUCCGGUCAAGUCUCACGCCAGCAGCAACAAACAAGCCUCAUCUGCUGAUAAAACAUCAGUGUACACAUUUACCACCCAGACACACCCAACCACUCCUUCAGGACACUUGGGAUCCGGGGCCAGGGGCCAGGAAGACCACAACCAGUCCCCUAAACGCUCCAGCAUUGUGAUGGAGACACGCUCACCAGAGAUCCCUUCUGCCACUAUUUACCACUCCUUGCCUUUGGGCAUUUCCACAAAUCAGCCUCAGGUAUACUGCUUCUCCCCAGCAAUCACCCCUGCUCCCACCCUGGACCCCUUCCUGGCCACCCAGAGGAAGAUGCUCCUGGAUCCCACCACUGGAAACUACUACCUGGUGGACACUCCUGUGCAGCCGGCCACCAAGCGCCUCUUUGACCCCGAAACAGGCCAGUAUGUGGACGUGCCCAUGCCGCAACCUCCUAUGACCCCGGUGCCCAUGCCCAUCUCACCUUUGGCCCUCAGUCCAGGAGCAUACGGACACACCUACAUGAUCUACCCAGGCUUCAUGCCGACACCAUCAGUGAUCCCGGCCCGGACGCUGGUGCAGUCGCAGAUGUCUGUGCAGUCAGAGGCGGAGAGCGGGGAGAGAGUCUCGUCGCAACAGACUGAGGGUAUGUACAUGGAGAGUCCUUUCUACAUGGCCACUGGAAAGUCUCCCCAGGCGGCCUCCGGGGCUCAACAGCAGGCCACCACGAACAAGCCGCCGCAAGGCUUCUCCAGCUUUAAGCAGCCGGUCAUCAGCAUCACCUCCCAGCAGGGGCCCAGGAUCGUUGCCCCGCCCUCGUUUGACGGGACCACCAUGAGCUUCGUGGUGGAGCACAGAUAAACGGCAGCUUACCUGGAUGGAGGCUUUCAUCUAACCUGAAAAACGUCUAUAAGUACAUAGUGGAUUGGUGUCACACUCUCUAUACAACAAUAUGAUAUCUACCCUAAAGGGCUGAGCUGAGUGGAUGCUGGACUGCUCUGGGUCUCCUCAUUGUGCUGCGUUAUUUAUUUUAGCGGCUGGAGGUGAUGGAUAAGGGCCCUUGCAUGAAAGGGUUCAUUUGCAUCCUGUUUCACCUUUUUCAAAUUUCUACAAGCUGUAUAUCAAGUAUGUAUUUCUUGCUUUGUUUUAUAACAUCACAUUGUAAAAACUCACUUAAUUCAUAGGCCUAUAUCGCAUCGACUUUGCUAGCAUGGUAAUCAAUCCCCCUCAUAAACCGAUCAGGGUUUAAUUCUGGAAAUUUGUUUAACUUAUCAGACUAUGUAGUUUUUGUGACCUUUGUAAUUCAUUUCAUAAGUAUUAUUUAUAAUAUUUAGCCAAAUAUCUCUACCAUUUCUUACCAUCUAUUGCAGGGAUGGGCAAACUUUUUGACUCACGGGCCACAAUGGGUUCUAAAAUUUGACAGAGGGGCCGGUCCGCCCGUUCCUGCGUUGACUGCUUGCUAGCGUAGUCGGCAUGCUUCGUAGCAAAGUGACGGCUGAUAUUGUACUCUUUGAAAACCGCGACAGUUUCUUGGCAUAUUAGGCACACAGCCUUUGAUCGGACAGUGAAAAAAUAUUUUGUUGUCCGCUCCGUAUUAAACACUCGGCGCUCACUAUCCACUUUUCUUUUCUUUGAUAAGCUCAUUUUUGCAGAAGGGCUCAUGAGAGAAGAAGAGAGUAAUACACGCGAACAAGGUCAAUGUAGCUGAAGUGCGCCAUCUUUUGGGGAAACGUGGGCAUUACAGGGGAAAGGUAAAUUGAACAAGGCUUACCCGUACCUAUUUUAAUAGAAUUUGGUAUCGUUCGGUGGGCCGGAUUAAUAAGCCCAACGGGCCGUGUGUGGCCCGCGGGCCGUAGUUUGCCCAUGUCUGAUCUAUUGUGUGUUGGAAUUAAUAGUGUCACUACUAUUGCUUUAAAAUGUACAAUAGUCAGCAUUUACCACUGUGUUUUUAUAUGUGUGGAAAUGUCAUAAUGAAUUCAGCGUGGUUGAUUAACUAACAUAAUACUAUUGAUGUAAUGUGUGUGUUGAACCUAUACAAUGUCAGACAUCCUAGAGAUCUCUCAUCAUGCCUGUGUUCUGCAUAUAGAGCAGAAUUUUCAAUUCAUUUUUGAACAUGGUGUAUCACAUUCGAAUCUUAAGUUUUCAUCUAAUGAACACAGUUUAUGUUGAGAUCAGGUUUAUUAAUUACCUGAUCACACUUAAAUAAAACUGGCAAAUCCUUCCUCCUCCCUGGAAUGUAAAGAAUCUGAUUUUAGUUUUCUAAUCAGCUUUAUAAAGGUCUAGGACAACUCAGCUGUGUGACCUGCACACUGAUGUACUUUUUAGCCCCAUUUCACAUUAUUUCUACAGUAUGUGUAUCAGUUUCUAAGUAAUUAUUUUGACACUGACUUAUUGUUUUGUACUUUAAAUAGUUUACAGACUGUGGAUCUGCUGGCAAAUCCACCCUUCUUUCAUUUUGAAUCAACUGCUGGAAACAUGUUACUUUUACUGUCUUUACGCUAGGAAACUAGAAAAUACAGUCUAAUCCAACAUCAAGCCUUUUACAAUAACUGCAGAAAAUGUGUUAUUAUUAGCAUUUAGAAAGUGCUAAGCUUUGGUCACUGUUUUGAAUUCAAAUGUUGCUCCAUCACUGCCCCAACCCUGUGGAAGUGUAUAGGGGACUAUAUUCAAAUAUUGUAAACUUGAAAAUGUAAUUUCACAAUAGCAUUAUAAUUUUCCACAUAUGUGUGAUAUUUGAGUAAAAAUGAGAAUGCAAUAAACCAAUUUUCAUUUUCACAUACUCGUAUGGGCAUUCUAUGACUAUUAAAAUUACUAUGAAAAGCUGUUUGACAUUAAAUUUUCAAAGUUGUAACCCGCUGUACAGUGGACAAUAUUCAAAUAUUAAUUCAAAUUUGAAAAUGAAAUAUAAACAAUGUGACCUCUUUUUCCAGUUAUGCAAGCAAUAUUUAAGGCAAAAUGAAAAUGCAAUUUUCUAACAAUUUGAAAAUGUACUGCAGCAGUGUUUGAAUGUGCAUGGAGAAGAGCUCUUUUUUUGCUUCCGUGCAACAGAGGCAGAGUAAAGCUUGUUGUUUAGAGAAAUGAAAUUCUGUAUAAGUGUAAAUACUUUUUUUCACAGGUCUCAAGGGAGGCCUGAUGUUCUGAUCCGUCACAGUGAUUUCUGUGAUUCAAAGACUUGGGCAAGGACACUCAAACAGGGUGGGGGUUUGAAGCCAGACCACCCUGCUGCUUGGAAACCAUUACUGUGAACUUUCUGGACAGACAGUAAAUACUGUGAAGGUAAAAGGAAAGUGGAUUUGUCAUGAAUAGAAAAAGUAAGGGGACUUUUAUUUUGAAUGAAACGGUGAAUGCACCACAUGGAAAGGUGGGUUUAGUUGGCUAGAGAGAAAUGAAACAACAAAAAUCAGUAAAAGUAAUGCUGAAAUGAAGGCUUAGUUUAGGUUUUCAAUUUUUAUGUGUUUUGCAAAUGUACAGUGUCGGUUCAAAAUUGUCACGAAUACUGCAAGGGAUGUUUAAUCAUAUGCUGACAUUAAAUGUGUGUGUGCGCCUUGUGAAAAUUUAAUAAAUAUGAAACCCUUUUGCAGAUCUCUCUAUUAUAUUUUGUGUCUUUGUUUAAGUCUCUUCUCAAAACACAUUUUUAUCUGAAAGCAUAUCCUGAUUUUACCUGAACUGGCUGUUUAUUUUA